rnacentral:rRNA from 1 species
CCUACGGGUGGCAGCAGUCGAGAAUCAUUCACAAUGGGCGCAACCCUGAUGCAGCGACGCCGCGUGGGGGAAUGAAGCUCUUCGGAUUGUAAACCCCUGUCAUGUGGGAGCAAAUUAAAAAGAUAGUACCACAAGAGGAAGAGAUGGCUAACUCGGUGCGAGCAGCAGCGGUAAUACAGAGGUCGCAAGCGUUGGGCGGAUUCACUGGGCGUAAAGGGUACGUAGGCGGUUUGGUAAGGCGGGUGUGAAAGGCGCGGGCUCAACCCGCGGACUGCACGUGAUACUGGGAGCCUUGAGUAUAGUAGAGGGAGCCGGAAUUCUCGGUGUAGCAGUGAAAUGCGUAGAUAUCGAGAGGAACACUCGUGGCGAAGGCGGGUUCCUGGACAUUAACUGACGCUGAGGCACGAAAGCCAGGGGAGCGAAAGGGAUUAGAUACCCCUGUAGUC